ACGUCUUUGGGUAAUGCCAAGGGCAUGAACGCGAAUAAGCAUGUAGUCUCUUGACCAGUAACAUUUUCGGACGCGGGUUCGACUCCCGCCGCCUCCACCA
rnacentral:tmRNA from 1 species